UGGAAGUUUGAUACUUGUAUAAAAUAACUCACUGUGUUUUGUACAUCACUAUACUUCCUAGAUAGUAAAGAUUCUCUGAUGACCUCAGUUGGAUGAAGUUUUGGACGGAGGACAGAUACGGAACCGACAAUU